UAGAUGCGAGAGUAGAGCAUAUCAAUAAGCGGAGGAAAAGAAACUAACUAGGAUUCCCUUAGUAACGGCGAGUGAAGCGGGAAGAGCUCAAAUUUGAAAUCUUCAAGGUUCUACCUUGACGAAUUGUAGUUUAAAGAAGUGUUUUCUGUUGGAGUUUUGGUAAAAGUUCUUUGGAAUAGGACAUCAUAGAGGGUGAGAAUCCCGUAUUUGACCAUUUCUUUCCAACUUUGUGAUACACUUUCAAAGAGUCGGAUUGUUUGGGAAUGCAGUCCAAAAUGGGUGGUAAAUUUCAUCUAAAGCUAAAUAUUGGCGAGAGACCGAUAGCGAACAAGUACCGUGAGGGAAAGAUGAAAAGAACUUUGAAAAGAGAGUUAAACAGUACGUGAAGUUGUCAAAAGGGAAGCGUUUGACACCAGUGUUGUUUUCUCGAAAAUCAAUUAAAAAUGGCCGGAUUUUGUGUUGUAUUGACUUUAUCAGCUUUCUGCACUUUUUUCUUGAUCUUUUUUAAUGCACUUUUCGUUUAACAAGUCAACAUCAAUUUCUUUUGUUGUAAAAGAGUCAUUGGAAGGUGGCUUUCAUUUCGGAUGAAAGUGUUUAUAGCCUUUGACUUCUGCAGUCGGAGAGAUUGAGGUCUGCAGCGUAGAUCCUUCGGGGUUAGAUACACUUUGUGCUAAGUUAUAGCUUUUCAUAGACAACAUGUUGACUAUGAUUCAGUCAUGUAGCUUACUCGCUUAUGCUAUUUUACCUACGCUUAGGAUGUUGACGCGCGUGUGUGCGU
rnacentral:rRNA from 1 species